CGCGGGAUGGAGCAGUAGGUAGCUCGUCGGGCUCAUAACCCGAAGGUCAUCGGUUCGAGUCCGGUUCCCGGUACUA
rnacentral:tRNA from 1 species